GGAGAGGUGGCAGAGUGGUCGAUUGCACCGGUCUUGAAAACCGGCAGGGGUGAAAGCCCCUCGAGGGUUCGAAUCCCUCCCUCUCCGCCA
rnacentral:tRNA from 1 species